UAAAUGAUCCUUUUAUCGUGUAC
rnacentral:miRNA from 1 species